CGUCAAAGCUUAUUUCUCAAUUAUUAUAAUUCCUUAAACUUCUUAAAACCCCUAAUCAGUACUGAAUGAUUCUAUAUUUUUAUAGAACUCCUUAUGUUAAAACUAGUAACAAGAAGUCCUCUUCUCUUCCUAUGUAAAUGUAAAUCAGACCAGAAAAACUACUGAUUCCUAACAACCUUAAACCUAAGUAACAAACUUUUCAAGAAAAAUUUACUAGUGUAUUUGUUAACCUUACACAAGAACAUAAAAAGAAAGAUUAAAAGAAAAAGAAGGAACUCGGCAAACCCCCUGAUUCCGCCUGUUUACCAAAAACAUCGCCUCCUGCUAAUCUAUAGGAGGUCCAGCCUGCCCAGUGACCUAGUUUAACGGCCGCGGUAUCCUAACCGUGCGAAGGUAGCGUAAUCACCUGUUUUUUAAUUGAAGACCUGUAUGAAAGGCAUCACGAGAAUCUAACUGUCUCCUUUUUCCAAUCAGUGAAACUAAUCCCCCUGUGAAAAAGCAGGAAUAUCUCUACAAGACGAGAAGACCCUAUGGAGCUUAAGACAAAGUAAUAUUUUGCACAAUUAUUUAACUCCUACUUCAAUUAGCAUAAACUUACAAGUCUUUGGUUGGGGCAACCGCGGAGCAAAAAAGAACCUCCAAGAUGAACGGAACUUUCCUAAACAAAAAGCCACAACUUUAUGUAUCAACAUAUUGACAUUAUGACCCAAAAUUUUUGAUUAUCGAACCAAGUUACCCUAGGGAUAACAGCGCAAUCCACUUUAAGAGUCCAUAUCGACAAGUGGGCUUACGACCUCG
rnacentral:rRNA from 1 species